UUCCAUGGCAACCCUAUCAACGCCUAAACAGAGGUCACGUGGCACAUUUCUCAUCAGCCAAUGAGAAGCAAGAAGAGGCGGGUGUAAGAGUGAAGGCGUACCACAGACUGUACAGGCGUACCUCACAGAAGAUGGAUUUCCAACAGCAUGGAUACCGGGCAAGUACGUAUGAAAGAUCUUAGCAAAAGAUUGUUGUUCUUUGAGAUACGUGGACAACAACAUACUGUGCUUUAAAAUCAGCAGAGCCUAGAUUGAUUACAUCACGAACAGAUUGGCACUAAAGUACAUUGCAGAUUGUAAAGUAACUGAUUAGACCUAAUUGAACAUCUUAGCUUGAUGACGUGGUGUGUGAACUCUUUGCCACAUCACAUGUAAUUAGUUACUGUAAUAUCACA